GCACUGCUGACGAGUCCCAAACAGGAUGAAACAGCUGUCCAGUUC
rnacentral:hammerhead_ribozyme from 1 species